rnacentral:rRNA from 1 species
GGAAUUUUGGACAAUGGGCGAAAGCCUGAUCCAGCCAUUCCGCGUGCAGGAUGAAGGCCCUCGGGUUGUAAACUGCUUUUGUACGGAACGAAACGGCGACUUCUAAUACAGGUCGCUAAUGACGGUACCGUAAGAAUAAGCACCGGCUAACUACGUGCCAGCAGCCGCGGUAAUACGUAGGGUGCGAGCGUUAAUCGGAAUUACUGGGCGUAAAGCGUGCGCAGGCGGUGAUGUAAGACAGAUGUGAAAUCCCCGGGCUCAACCUGGGAACUGCAUUUGUGACUGCAUCGCUGGAGUGCGGCAGAGGGGGAUGGAAUUCCGCGUGUAGCAGUGAAAUGCGUAGAUAUGCGGAGGAACACCGAUGGCGAAGGCAAUCCCCUGGGCCUGCACUGACGCUCAUGCACGAAAGCGUGGGGAGCAAA